CACGUAGGGCGCAAGCGUUGUCCGGAAUUAUUGGGCGUAAAGAGCUCGUAGGCGGUCUGUUGCGUCCGCUGUGAAAACCCGGGGCUUAACCCUGGGCUGGCAGUGGAUACGGACAGACUAGAGGUAGGUAGGGGAGAAUGGAAUUCCCGGUGUAGCGGUGAAAUGCGCAGAUAUCGGGAGGAACACCGGUGGCGAAGGCGGCAUCCUGGACCAACACUGACACUGAGGAGCGAAAGCCAGGGGAGCAAACGGG
rnacentral:rRNA from 1 species